GUAUUUUCCAGUGAGAGACCGCGGAGUGUUGGGUCGUGUAGAAGUGACUGAACCCAGAAGGUGGAGACGAGACGUUGUCCCGACUGCACAGAGGCUGCUCUGCAGCUCCUUAAAGGCGCUAGGCGUGACCCGCACCAAGGCCGGGAUCGGGACCACCGUGCCCGGGUACCUGCACUGCUCGCCCCCUCCUUUCGACCCCGCUUUCCCCACCCAGUCGGAUGGCGGCGGCCGCGCUGAGGCCCCCGGCUCAGGGCACUGUGACCUUUGAAGAUGUGGCUGUGAACUUUUCCCAGGAGGAAUGGAGUCUCCUUAGUGAGGCUCAGAGAUGCCUUUAUCAUGACGUGAUGCUGGAGAACCUGACACUUAUAUCUUCUCUAGUGGGACUGAGAGUUCUCAGUGAUCCAGAAGUUGCAGCUAAACCCAGGCUCAGCAUGAUGGGCCCAGAGGGAGGCCACCUCUGAGGAGUAACACCCUGGAGGAAGACAUAACAUUAGGGAUUUAGGAAAGUCAUACUAGAAGCUCUCCGAUUUCACAAGUAUUUACCUGGCAACAUGACGAGCCAUAUGCUGUUUCUGUCUUCCCCAUUCUUGAGAGUUUCAGACUUCACCGUUCUAUACCCUGUCACCUCUCCUCUGAUGCCAGCCCAGGACUAAUCUUCACAUCUCUGGAUCCCACCUGGACCCAUUUUUCUCACAUUUCCAUCUGCAGUGGACUCCAAUACUGGCAUAUCAAUUUUGUAUUAGGAAGUGUGUACACAUUGCUAAGCCAUACCUGACCAACAACUGCUUUGUUGUACUCGUAUUUUCUUGUGACACACAAACAAGUGUAUCUAACAGAGGUAUUACUCCAUGGAAAUAAUUGCAGAAACAGAAUGUUGCCUUUAGGUUGAAGAUAAGUCUUCUUCAUAUUACUGGGUUAGAAUGAUUACAGAAUGUAGGGGGCCACAUGAUGUGAAGGAACCAACAAUACAUGCACUACAGGAAGCAGAGGCAAUUCCUUCCUGUGCAAACAUCUAAAGGACCUUCAUAAAGUAUGUGGAUGCUAUAUAAAAGGAUAUGUCUAGGCCCAAGUAAAUGUAAGUACAACAAAGCAGCUGUUGAUCAGGUAUGGCUUAGUAAUACUUCCCUUCGGAAGUACCUUGCAUUUUACCAGCAUUUUAUUUCUUUUAGGUUGUUGGUAUGAAGCAAAAGACGAGACACCUUCUAAGCAGACCCUUUCUAUACAACAGGAGUCCCCACUCAGGACACAUUGGACAGGUGUAUGUACCAAGAAGGUCCACCUCUGGGGAAUGUGUGGCCCUCUCCUGGGAGAUAUCUUACACCAGGGAACACAACACAAUCAGAAAUUGAAUGGGUUUGGGGCAUAUGAAAAAAAAUUGGAUGACGAUGCAAACCAUCAUCAAGACCAGAAGCAGCACAUUGGAGAGAAAUCGUACAGAAGCAAUGCCAAGGGAACAUCUUUUGUAAAGAACUGUGAAUUCCCUAUGUCACAUGAGCCAUUUAUCUUUCAUGAGGUUGGGAAAGACUUUUUGUCCAGCUUGAGAUUACUCCAACAAGAGGACAUUCACACUUCAGAGAAGUCAAACUUUGAAACUAAGCAUGGGAUACCCCUUCAGGGUGGAAAAACUCAUUACAUCUGUGGAGAGUCCACAAUACCCUUUAGCAACAAACACUCACUUGUCCUUCACCAGAGACUUCUCCCUAGAGAAGGACCUUAUGUAUGCAGUGAUUCUGGGAAAUUCACUAGCAAAAGUAAUAGUUUUAAUAAUCAUCAGGGAGUUCACACUGGAAAAAGACCUUAUCAGUGUGGACAAUGUGAUGAAUCAUUUUGGUAUAAGGCCCACCUCACUGAACACCAGAGAGUUCACACUGGAGAAAGACCUUAUGAGUGUGGAGAAUGUGAUAAAUCUUUUAGUCAUAAGCACAGUCUUGUUGACCAUCAGCGAGUUCACACUGGAGAAAGACCUUAUGAAUGUGACGAAUGUGGGAAAUCUUUUAGCCAUAAGCGCAGCCUUGUUCACCACCAGCGAGUUCACACUGGAGAAAGACCUUAUCAGUGUGGAGAAUGUGGGAAAUCGUUUAAUCACAAGUGCAACCUCAUUCAGCAUCAGCGAGUUCACACUGGAGAAAGGCCUUUUGAGUGUACGGCAUGUGGGAAGUUAUUUAGGAGCAACUCCCACCUAAAGGAACACCAGAGAGUUCACACUGGAGAAAGACCCUAUGAGUGUAAAGAAUGUAGGAAAUCAUUUAGGUACAAGUCACACCUCACUGAACACCAGAGAGUUCACACUGGAGAAAGGCCAUAUGAGUGUAGAGAAUGUGGGAAAUGUUUUCAUCAAAAGGGCAGUCUCAUUCAACAUCAGCAGAUCCACUCUGGAGAAAGGCCACAUGAGUGUGGAGAAUGUGGGAAAUGUUUUCAUCAAAAGGGCAGUCUCAUUCGACAUCAGCAGAUUCACUCUGGAGAAAGGCCACAUGAGUGUGGAGAAUGUGGAAAGUGUUUUCGUCAAAAAGGAAACCUCAUUAAACAUCAACGAGUUCACACGGGAGAAAGACAUCAUGAAUGUUGAAAAUUUGGCAGAUCUGUUGGUAAAAAGAGCACCCUCAUUCAACAUUCGUGAGAUCACACUGGAAAGCGCUUAUGAGUGUGGAGAAUGUGCAAAAUCAUCUAGCCAAAAGGUUGGCCUCAUUCAACAAUAGCAAGAUCACACUGGGGAAAGGCUUUCUGAGUGUAGAGAAUGUAUGAAAUCCUGUACAUAGAAGUUUUGCCUCACUAAAUACCAGAAGGGUCACACUGGAGAAAGACCCUAUAGUUACGGGGAAUUUGGGAAAUUACCUAACAAGAAGUCCCACCUCACUGAACACUACUGAGUUCACAGUUGAGAAAGGCCAUAUGACUGUAAGGAAUUUGUAAAAUUAUUUAGCCAGAAGAGCUGCAUUACUAUUCAUCAGAUAAUUUACAAUGGAGAAAGGCCACAUAAUAAUUUCUCACAUAAUAAAUGUGAGAAAUCAUUUCCGUACAGCUCUGCGCUCCAUGUUCGUAAGAGUUCACACUGGACAAAGCCUUAUGAGAGCAGCGAGUAGAAAAUCCUUUGUGGGAAAACUCUGGUUUCAUUAAACACAGGAGAGUUCAUGCUAGAGAAAGGCCUCAACAGUGUAGCAAAUAUGGAAAGACAUUCACUAGAAGUUCUGCCCUGCAAGUUCACACUAGAGAAAGCCCUUCUCAGUGAAGUAAAUUUGGAAAAUUGAUUAGUCAAACCUCUGUGCUCCUUCAAAAUCAGAGUUCACACUGGAUCAAGGCUUUAUGGUGUGACAAAUAUGGCACAUUCUUUAUCUAAAUGUCUAACAUAUUAUGCACAGACAAACUCCUGCUGUGGAAGUGCCUUUUGAGUGCAGAGCAUUUGCGAGGGCUUCACUCUGCUUUCACUGGAUACCAGAAUGUUGACAGGAGAAAAAUAACAUAGAUGUGUGGGAAUAUUACUUCUUUUCCAGUGUAACUGUGGGAGAGAGCCCUUAUGAGGAUGCCAUCAACCUAUAUUGAAUGUCAUAUGUCCAAUAGCUGCAUAAAUUCCAGGGACAUGAUGUCACUCUGAAACUCAGGCUGGAAUACACUGGCAUGGUCAUACCUCACUGCGGCCUCAAACUCCUGGGCUCAAGUGAUCCUCCUGCCUCAGCCUCCCGAGUACCUGAGAUUAGCCCAGGUAAUUUAAGAAUUUUUUAUAGAGAUAGGGUUUUGCUAUUUUACCCUGACUGAUGUUCAACUCCUGGCCUCAAGUAAUCCUCUAGCAUACGCCCUUGAAAGCACUAGGAUUACAGGUGUGAGCCACCAUGCCCAGCCCAAAAAUAAUUUUUGUAGAAUUAGCAUUUCUAGGUAGUGAAGCAGACUACAACAGAAUAGUUGGGAUAUACUUUUUUUAAAAAGGCAUCCACAAUGAUUCAGUCACUAUGUCUGUGAUGGACAAGCAGGUACAGAAAUUUUCAGGACCUCCAUAAUUAUGAAUCUAGUGUAGCUUAGGUCAUUGUCAGACUAAAUCUAAAGGUUUUUUGGAUUUCUGUAGCCUAUCUGGGCUGCAUACCAAAAAGCCAUCCCUGAAUUAGUAGGAGGAAGAGGGUAGGGAGAAAGGAAAUCUCUUAGUCCAGUGAUGUGGCCUUUGCAACCAGCCGGCAUUCCAAUUUAAUCAAGUGGAAAUGAUCUUCCUGGCUCAUAAGUAUUUGGUAUCACACAGGCUAAUUGCCCCCCUUAGGGCGUGAUGAGAGUUAGGAGAGUCAAUGUAAAAUCACAUAACCUAUUUGUCAAAAAUAAUGUUAAAUCCAGAUAGUUCUUUCAAAUUAAAUUUUUAAAGCUGUAAUAAGACUGGGCAUGGUGACUCAUGCCUGUUAUCCCAACACUUUGGGAGUCCAGGGUGGGAGUAUUGCUUGAGGUAAGAAGUUUGAGACUAGCCUGGGUCCCAUAGUAAGACCCUGUCUCUUAAAAAAUAAAUACUAUCUUUCUCUCUGGCCUCUCCAUCCUCCAGACAAUCACUGAAUUACAAUAUUUGCUUAACAGUAGAUUAAUGUCAAUUUUCUGGAAUUUUAUAUGACUGAUAUAACAUGUUUCCUCUUUUCAUACCUGAGUACUCUCCUGAGCCCUAUUUAUUUAGAUGUUCUUCUUUUUUCUUUAUUAUUAUUUUUAUUUCACGUAGCAGGGAUGCAUAUUUUGACAUUCAUCAAUCAUGAUAUAUGAGUAGUUCAUUCUUUUUAUCUUAGAAUAUGACAUGCUAUGGAAAUCACUGUGUACGAAUUCAUCUGCUUAUGGAUAUGUUAUUGCUUCUUAUUUUUGUCUGUUAGGAAUAAAACUGCUUGUUAAGCACA